rnacentral:ncRNA from 1 species
GAGAGCCGGAUGCCGGCAAACUGGCAAGUCCGGUUCGGAGGGGGCUUGACGGACGUCCCACUCAGUGGGCGUCACGCUUGCUACCCUAC